AUUCAUAAUUCUUUCAUCUUUCUCACUCUCUCUCCUCAACCAUUCCCGCAACUCCCGCAACCCCCUACAAGAAAACCAUCUUCCACACCUCCAAACUUCAAAUUUCUUCAUCCUUUCUCUUCCAAAUCCAUAGAAGAACUAAACCCUUACUUUUUCCCCCACUUUAAACGCAUUUGGUACCCCCAAAAACUGUUCCAAAGUUGCUGUCAAAAUGGAAUCCGAGAAGAAGGUUAAAGCUUCUUCAACAUAGAGUUGGGUUUUCGAAAGCCAUAUCCUCACCCUUAAAGCUACAAGUUUGAGCUUCUAGAAACCGAACUUUUGAUUAGUUUUCAAGGCGAAAAUUGUUGGCGCAAGGAGAAAUUUGGAGACCGCAGAUCUUGACUCCAGUAUGUCAAAUUCCACAGAACCUUUGAACUUCAACUAACAAAGAGUGCUCAUGCCAGUUCCCUAAGAAGUCAAAAUUGAUAAUUGAAAACGGUCGUCUGAUUUAUAUAUGUCCUAAUGACUAUUGUGGGUUCCAUAGCUGCUGGGAGGAAGACGACUCAAUUGAGUUCAAAAAUAUGCGGUGUCGAUGUGGUUGUAAUAUGGGAUUUUUUAUUAUCACUACUGAAAAUAAUCCAAAUAAAUUGUUUUAUAAAUGUUUUAGCUGUAACAUUUUCCGUUGGUGGAGUAGAAACAUGGACCAGGGCAGCGGCGGCAGAAAUGCCAAGGGGAAGGGGAAGGUCAGCGGCAGUGGUCAGAGAAAGGCCAGCGGCAGGGGCCAGGGAAAGGGUAAUGUCAACAGCAGUAGCGACGAGGAGGAUGAGGGAAAUGCCAGCGGCAGGGGCCAGGGAAAGGGAAAGGCCAGUGGCAGUAGCGAGAAGGAGGAUGAGAUGGACCCCGUUGAUGAGCUCUGUGAUAUGAUGCAAAAUGUUAUACUAACAAAUGUUGCCAUGUUAAGAAAGCUAAAGAAGUUGAAAGACAAAUAAUUAUUUAUUUGCUAUUUGUAUAUUACUGACUAUUGUAUUCAUAUUAGCCUAACUAUUGUAUAUUACUGACUAUUGUAUUCAUAUUAGCUAUUGUAUUCAUAUUAGCCUAACUAUUGUAUGCAUAC